AACGUAGGUUCCGAGCGUUAUCCGGAUUUACUGGGCGUAAAGCGCGUUCAGGCGGUUUGGCAAGUCGGGCAUGAAAUCCUUCGGCUCAACCGGGGGAGGUUGUCCGAUACUGCUGAACUGGAGGGCAGUAGAGGGUGGUGGAAUUCCGGGUGUAGUGGUGAAAUGCGUAGAGAUCCGGAGGAACACCAGUGGCGAAAGCGGCCACCUGGACUGCGCCUGACGCUGAAACGCGAAAGCUAGGGGAGCGAACGGG
rnacentral:rRNA from 1 species